rnacentral:lncRNA from 1 species
GAAGCAUAAAUCAGUCAAUCUGAAUGUUGGAAUUGAUCACCCAGCCCAAGUUAUAAGGACUUGUAGACAGCACCUUCUGCUUUCUUGUCUGCCUUUCUGAUAUUUUUAGCUCUUUUCAUUGCUGAAAGUGGCAUAGCGGGGCCUCUGCAGUGUCUGCAAUGUCCCAUUUUGUUAAUGAGACAAUGUAAAGUUUUUGCACCCACAAGAUCCAAUUCCUGUUCAGCAACAGCUCUAUCAAUAGACAGUUAAGAAGUGAAAGUCAUGCAGUCGCACUGUACAUGCUGCAUAAACUGACCAUGCUCUGCAAGACAAAAAAAGGGAAUUUUUUUUAGUUGGAUUUUAGAAAAGUGCAAAAACAUUACUUCUGUCUUUCACAAUUUUUGCUACUAUAGUUUUCUUAUCUGCACUUGCAUCCCUUUAAAAAUUCCCACAUGUAUGUAGACAUAAAUGGCUGUGGAAGGUGUUGCAAACCUUUUGUUGCAUCACAGGAAUAGCCUUCCAUUUUUUUUUUUUUUUUUGCAUGUGUGGUGGUGGUGUUGCUUAUUUUGCAAUACCUACACUGGUUCAUGCAAUAGCAUGUUGCACGGCUAUCUUUUAAGAAUAAGUUUUGAUAGCUACAAGAAUCACAUGUGUGAUUGCAGCUUGUGCAAUUUCCCUUUCCGACAUACAUGACAGGAAAACACCUUUGCUUCGCUCAUUUGACAACACUGUUUGUUAGAGCUUGUGAAUUUUUAGUAUUUCUUGUUGGCACUUUUCUUUGUUUCUUUUUAAAAAUUUUUGUUUUUCCUAAUGUUUGGAUUAAUGUCAUUUGUCGUGAGCUACAUGUUCUCUUCGGGCAUCUAGCUGGGGUUGCAUUUUCAAACUUGUGGACUGUCACUUCUGUAGUUUUGUAAACUCUAACACAAACAUCUAUCUCUAGAAAAUAUUAGGGAGUUUGACGGGAGUCUGAUGGAAAACCAAGUAAACUUUUUCGAAAAUGGUGGGCAACGUCAUAGCUUAAGAGAAGUCGUAAUUUUGUGCUUUUUAUCAGUGAUUUCUUUCUUUUUUUUUUAAGCGUUGAGAAAAGGCUGGACAAUUGUACAGGUGUGAUGUGCAGCCAAGAUUUACAGGUUUGAGUUCACUAUGCAGGCUAACAUGGAUGCAACUACUGUACUUGUAGUCAAGUGAGGCAUUGGAUAAUUUGCACGCUGGGCCUGUUCAUUCCUUCAUCAAGCCUUCUAGUACUGUGCUGAUUGCUGUGAGGGAGCCAAGUGAUGUAAAUAUUUGUAACUAACAGUUGGCAUGUGCUGUCUAGAAAAGGGCCAAAAUAGUGUAACAUGCAAGCACAUCAAGAUCUGGGCUGUUUGCUCAUGGGGCACAUGAUUAGAAUGUAGGUCACGCCAUUGUUUUGAGUGUAGGCACUUGUCCACAUAAAAAAAAAAUGGUCUGCAAAGGUUCACUGUAUCUGAGGCAGAUGAUAUUAUUUUCGUCUUUGUUUUCUGUUGCUUCAAUUCACCAAAUUUGAAUUACUGAAGCAUUCACUCUGUAAAUGUGCUUUUGUGUACAGCCUUUGUCGGAAGUUCUGAGGCCAAUUUGUGAGUGCCAGGAAACGCCACCAGUUGACCUGAUACUAGGACCCUGUAGCAUUUUUGGCAGUUUGAAGCCUCAAAAAUUGAAGAGCAUUUUUUUCUUGGUCUCUAGCUUUGGAGCCACAAAAGUUAUGCCAGGUCCCUAACGCAUCCCUCCAACUGGUCAGGUCCCACGUGUGUAACUUUUAAACUUUUGAUAGAGACAGCAUACUGCUUUGCACACGUUCCAGCAGCAUGUUUUGCAGGUCUUGUAAACGGCGCAUGUUCUUUGCAAGGCAUGUCGUGCUUCGUAUGCCUGCUUUGUUUUCUGCUUUGGAAAUAGAUAGCAAGUUGUGCGAAUUGGCUAAGGUUCAUCAUACUGGUAACACAGCGUAAAAGCAAACAAGGACAAAAGAAAGAAAAACACAACACUGCGCUUUCUUCUCUGUGUGCGUGUUUUCCUCAUUUCAGUAACGUAGAUUCCAAGUAAUUAACAUGUGGUUUCACAUUUUACACAUCUGUGUGCUCUAUCAUUAUAUCUAAAUGCUUUUUCUUGAACAUGUUACGAUAUCAUUUUAAUCCAAUGAGUAAUUGUUGAUCUCCUCACGCUCUGCUUUAGCUGCUCUAGUGAAUUCUCCAAUAGUACUGCUUGCUUUAAGCACAGGAUAUGCGAGGUCCAAUAUUGGUUGAUUGGGCACUUUAUUUUCUUAAAAUUUCAAAAGGGAGCCCUGCUCAGCCUCAGUGCUUCUGCCACAAAAAUCACUUUUCCAUCAUCUCUCUUGGUUUAUUCACAAGUUAUCAGCACAACACGCUUGGCACUUCAUUAUCAAAUGCAGCGUCCUGAAGGCCUGCCUAGCUGUUUCCCACGCCUGGUGUUGUGAAUCGCCCAGGUUUCCUUCACCUCUCUUACACCGUGCGAAACGGUCAACCACAAGCCCCGUGGGAGGUGCCAGUGCAUAUCAAAGUCUUGGGAGUGUCACACAUAGUGGGUAUGUGAAGUCGCAUCAUUAUUUAAUGUGCGUCCCACAUCGUGGAGUAAGUUUCAGCCUGUUCUCGGUGCUUACAUUGUGGGUUGCAAGGAUGGUUGUGAAGUGGUGUGCUUGUGUAAAUUUACACUUUUGUAGACUCGUACUUGCUCAGAAGCAUUGGUGACUUGUCUUCUAUGGCCAUGAAAGUGUGGUAUGUCGACAGGUUUAGUAAACAAUUGCAAAUUUCAGACUGUCUGAUUGCUAGUUUGGUGCAGUUGUAUAGGCACUCACUUGGUGCAGGAACACAUGCAAUGUAUGUUCAUUGUGUUCAGAUUUGUGCAAAAUGCCAUGGAAUGACUCUGUAAUGGAACAUUUUACAUUUUCUUAUCAUGACUGCCUGCCAUCCUCUUGGUCUGUGGAUUUGUGCUGAUUGCUGCUUUAGGUUUCAUCGAUGAGGAUUCAUUCUGCUUGGUAUGUAGGCAUUACUUGUUAAUAACUACAGCAGAUUGAAGCUUUCCUGGGAACCCUGAUUUGAGACAGAAAUGGUGAAAGACCUUGGAGACAUUAUCAAAAGUUUCUAUAUAUAUUGGAAAAGACAAGUCGCAAUUGUCUGAAAGUGAUCUGCUGAACCGAGAUGAAGUAAUAACAUCUCAAUACCAAUAUCAAAACCACCUGUGUCCUUUCUUUUUUGCUUGGGCAUGUUUGAAAUUUUUACAUUCUUUUGCUCCUGCCACUAUUUGAGAAGUUUGAGGGCUAUUUUGCAAGCAGCUGUUGAGCCCAUGGCUGUGCAUGGCUUCAGGGAACGAUCCUUCAGUUGUUACAGACAAUAUGAUUGUAUGGACGUUUUCGUAUUUGCGUUUGGGGACGUUUGUCUCGUUGGACCUAUCUGUCCGAAAUGCUGCUUGCACUUUGUAAUGUUACAGGGCUGUUGGGUAUCAUUUCGCAGUGCCAUUUGGCUGAUAUUCUCUACUUUUCAAAGAGUGUGUCAGACAAUGCAUGCAUCUAUAGUCUUGUGGGACAAUGCCAUGACCUGGAAUUUCUGCUGGGUGCUACAGUGAUUUUUUUUCUCUCACCAGUGCUAGCUCAUGGUAGGUCCUAAAAACACUGCCCAGUUCUGUGUGAUUGCAACUAUGCUCCUGUGCAGAAAACGCGCCUGGCUAGUGCAUUCUUCCCGCUGUCGGCAGUCUGUGCUUGAACAAGGGUGUGCUCAUGGAAGUCCUUUGGUAAUUGACCCUGUCUUAGUAUGGUGCUGCGCUGACACCAAACCGCAUUCUCUGUUGUGCGUGUCCGUGGACGUGUGUGUUUUGUAACCAGGGCUUGCACAGAAAAAGGCCACCCAUGGUAAAUCCUGUGUAUGAUAGAUGCUGCGACGUUGGUUGUGGUCGGUGGGAAAUGGUGCCUGCUUUCGUAUUGUGCUGUUGUAUGUGUGAUCUUAAAUCCCCUACUCUACAUGGUAGCCUUUGUCUGCAAAAAAAGAAAAAAAAGGAAUGGUUUCCUUGUAUCAGUGAUGGCUCUUGGAAUGGUCACACAGGCAACAUGCAAAAAAAAAAAGAAGACAGAAAUGUCGCAGCGCCAUUUUCUAGUCGCUACUCUCGCUUAAUCGCAGUUGUGACUUAACCUAUCGUAGUCUGCAGCAGUGAGUACUUCAUGCCACAGGUCGAUACAGUAGUAUUCACUUGCUUCCUUCCAUUCAGAUGGUGGGGCAAGCAAUACUUUGACGUGCUGGAGAGAAAGCAGAUCAGGAUGUGACUGCUAAUACUGCUCGUUGUUUAUUUGACUCAUUCCUUGCAUGUCUUGCGUGUCUAACCUGCUAGCUGCCCUCUUGUUGGUGCAGCGUACUUGUGCCAGAAACAUUUCCAGCAGCUGUGUUAGUCAUCGCAAGUCAUAGUUUCAGCACACAGCCGUAGACGAUCAGUGGAGCUAGUGUUCUCGGGCGGUUUCAGAGUGCUUGAGUCGCCAUUAAAUAGUGUUCCCGUGGCGACAGAUCUUCAGUUCCCCUUGGUCCUUGUAGUUUAUAGCGGUGUUUUGGUGCGUUAACCUAUGACUUGGGUCUCCCAAGUUUUUCUGCAGGCUGCUGCUACUGUGCUGGCCUAGCAUUGCUAAGGGACAUCGUCUGAGAGCAAAAACGAGAGCGCGAAAAAAUGUGCACACUUCACAACUUGAAACUCAAUUUUUUUCUCACUAGUUUCCUAGCAGCUCGGGAGGCAAUGUCCUUCAGAGUUGCCGUUGUAAGGCUAAAUUUGGCUGCCCAUUUUGAUUGCACAAGCUUUGCUUGUCAUGCAGGACAGUCUGCACGCAGAGCCUGCAUGGGAGCAGCAUGUAUUGAAGCACCAAAAAUCCAUGUGAUGUGGGCCUCAGCACCUGCAAGUUACCGCUUGCAUGUGCACACUUUGUGCUGGUGCUUGUGGAGCUGAUAGCCAGUGCCAGCGUUAGUGCUGCAUGCCAGAUUAGUACUGCCCCAGAUUAAUAUUGCCAUAAUUUUGGGCACUGGAAGGGGCACACUAUAGCCAAGCAUUAAAUGAGGCAAGGCAUUGCGCAUGAUCUUGUAGUGUCCCUUUAAUGCACACGCUCCUCCUUGCACCAGCUGUCAUGGACAAUGUAAGCAGCACAGGCACAUUUCCCACUGCAGAAGCACGUCAACUUAGCACUGUGGCCUAUAGCAACUGCAGAAUCUUUUCAUAGAACAAUGGUUCCAAAGCAGCAGUACCCAUUGUCUAAUACCUGUGUUACACACUCACUUUUGAUCAAGACCAUGCCCGAUACAGAUCAAGUGCUGAUGCAUGGUCACUUUCAAUAUCAAUCAAGUUUCUAUAUUGCAUCGUCGGCUGACAUCUGCUCUUUUAGCUUGGCAUUCUAGAAAAUGCUAAAAACAAAGUAAGGAUAGUAUAUACUUCUUUUCAGAAAAAGAUCUAUCUUAUAAUACAAAUUUUACAGCACAUUAGACAAAUUUCACAAGUGCUUUGGGCUGCAUUAUCAACACCUGGUGCUCUUUAACUCUUCCAAAUUCGAUCUGUAUUGUUGGACCACGCAAUGCCAGUCAUUGUCAAUUUUGAUCGAGAAAUUUGAUCCGGGGCGGGCCAAAUCGCAAUCAAGUUACUGUGUGACACCGGUAUAGGCCACGAACGUAUAUACAAGAAGUCUGAAAGAAGACUCAAGGCAUACUGCUUGUGUUUCUGCAUCCUCUAGUGGAACCACAUAUUGCCCUGGCUUUCCACUGUAUGCUGCCUCUUACUGAGCGCACUUUUUUUAUAUGGCUGUGAUGAAAAGCCUUUGGGCACAAGCAUUGACCUGGGGUGUGUUCCAAUUAGUUACAGCAAACACAGCUGUCUGUUGUGAUGUUGAGAAGCAGCUGCGUAUCUGAGUGCAAAAACAGCUUGACAUUGAAGCCAAAAGUUGGACGAAAUGUCGUCUGAUCGGGAAGGAUCAUGGCAAAAAAAAAAAAAAAAAAACAGAUGUCAUCCAAGGUGAAAAAAUAUUUAAUGAACAGAUUGUGAACAAGGUCCCUGUGCGGGGGCCAAAAUGCCGUUUAAAAUAUUUUUUCACUUUGUUUGGCAUCUGUUGUUUUUUGCCAGAUCUUGACUUUACAUGCACACUAGUGUAAAAUUUUUUUUGCAGUUACUAGAAGUAAGCGUACUUCUAGUAACUCUUGACCAAGAACCCACAGAAAUAAACAGUACCGAUGUCUCGCCUGUUCUACUCUCAGCAGUGAUGCUGCUUAAGCUAUGUUGCAGCAGAUAGAAGGUCACAGACUGCUUGAUUACUCACCCAUGCCAUCCUGAUACCUGCGUUUUCCCAAAACUGCAUGGUGGCUUUCGCCUAAAUAGCACCUGUCCAUUGAAUCGCUCAUCUGUGUCUGCUUGUUGGACAGCUGAGUAGCCUGCAUUGCUGCAGACUUUUAUACCUUUUUCGUUGUCUAUGGCAACUGUCUAGCAUAGACUACAAAGUAGCUGCAUUGUUGCAGGGUUUUCUACUGUCUACAUUUAGGUUGGAAGAGCACACAAUAUAUGCUAGCUGUCUCCCAGAUGUGACAAAGUGGCUGCCUAUGUCAAGUAUUGGAACACACCCAUGGUCGUAAUCCUUUCCUCAUCUUCGGUGUAUGGAAGCAGUCUCUAGGCAUAUGUGCAUGUGUGUGUGUUUUCGGCACCAUCUCCAGCAUUCUGACCCCACACACCUCCGACCUUAAAAAUGACAAGAGCGUUUCCUGCACGGAUAACAGAUAUACAGUAAGCGUUUCCCUAAUUACUUUUUACAAGUGGCACCCCCUCCCGCUCUCCCAGGAAAUGUGGAGUGCCCUGGGUGCUGUGUUAGCGAUGAAGCAGUGUUUGCGUCUGUGUUGUCUUUGUUGAGAUGAAUUUCAUAUGGACUUGCUCUGUAGAAGCCUUCUGCAUGAGCGUUUCUUUUUUUCUUUCAGAUUUUACUUUUUUUUUGUCUUUCUUGGAAGAUGACGGGUGUGAAAUGUUUUGUACAAGUCUUUAUUGCGCAUGGCUGUAUGUUCCUGCUUUGCACAGAUGAAAGUGACAUUUGCUUUUUUUCUUUGUUGUUGUUUUUAGUGUUUGUUCUUGUGCAUAGAAUUUGCUUUGUAUUCACUUACUUGAACAAAGUGCUCCAGUCUUA